rnacentral:lncRNA from 1 species
UGCUUCCAGUCGCGUGUCGUGACAUUGGAGUCUCUGGUAGGGUCUGGUGCAGAGCACCUGUUCUGACUUGCUGUUGCUGUAGGGCUUUCCUCAGGGGGUCACUUUUUCUUGCGCCGUGUGUUGUGUGUUUUGUUUGUAGUGUUUGUGGCGUGCCUGUGUGUGUGUGUAUGUGUUUGGUCUGGAGCUGUCCUGCCUGGCAGUUGGUGAUGACAGCUAACGUGGCAGUGCAUGGGUGUACUAAUACAUUGAUGGGACUGUGUUGGCAAAGACAUCCUGUCUGCCUCUGGGCACGUACUGAAGGGCAGCUGGCACAGUCAUCUCUGGUGGUUGGCAGAUGUGGAUUUGGGAGAGUAUAUCUCCUUGCGAGCAGCUGUUUGCAUAGUGCUUGAACGCUGUGCUUGAGGAGGUCUGUCGAAUCUUGAAAGCUUACAGAUAUGGGGUUUUGAAUUUUUUAUUUUUAUUUCUUUCAUGUCCCCAUUAGAGCGUAAACCUUUGGAGGAACCUGUCACAGGAAAGAGAUCCUUCUGGAACUGUUCAGCACUCGCUGAAACACAGUGUACGACACAGGACUUGACGACCAGAGCUGCUUUUGGCAAGGGGUGUUGUAGCUGGCCUAAGAGAGCAGAUGGAAGCGUCUGCCUCGAGGGGAGGGGAGGGCACGGAGGUAAGGCAGCAGCUGAGAGUAACUGUCC